rnacentral:tRNA from 1 species
CAAUUAAUAGUUUAUAAAAACAUUAGCCUUGGGGGCUAAAGAGCGGCAAUAAGUCGUUAUUUGA